UAUAUAAACCAGCAGCAGAGCUCUCAUAAGCACAGAGGAUACGUCUCUCUCUUCAGCUCUUCACAAGGUAUAAAUGUGAUGUAGACAAAAAAAAAAAAACACUGAGAAAUCUGCUGGAGCAUCAGAAACCACCACAAAACACCAGGACAGAGAGAAAUGGAGACCAGGAAUGAAACAGAAAGCAGUGAAUCACAAGAGAAAAGCAGACAGAGACAUAAGAGAUGGAACAGUAUGGAGAAAAUAAAGCCAAUGUUCUCACGUGAUCCAGACGGACCUGUGAUGUUCAUUCAGAUGUUUUUAAGAAAACACAACAUCACAGAGACCAGCAGAUGAAGACUGAUCAUCAUCAUCAUCAUCAUCAUUCUCAUCUUCAUCAUUCUCAUCUUCAUCA